GAGGGUAUAGCUCAGUGGUAGAGCGCAUGCUUAGCAUGCCCAAGGUCCUGGGUUCAACCCCUAGAACCUCCU
rnacentral:tRNA from 1 species